CAGCCGUAAACUAUGCGCGUUAGGUGUAUCGGUGACCACGAGUCACCGAGGUGCCGAAGGGAAACCGUGAAACGUGCCGCCUGGGAAGUACGGUCGCAAGGCUGAAACUUAAAGGAAUUGGCGGGGGAGCACAACAACGGGUGGAGCCUGCGGUUUAAUUGGACUCAACGCCGGGAAGCUCACCGGAUAAGACAGCGGAAUGAUUGCCGGGCUGAAGGCUCUGCAUGACUAGCUGAGAGGAGGUGCAUGGCGUAGACGUCU
rnacentral:rRNA from 1 species